rnacentral:rRNA from 1 species
GUGGGGAAUUUUCCGCAAUGGGCGAAAGCCUGACGGAGCAACGCCGCGUGAGGGAUGAAGGCCUCUGGGCUGUAAACCUCUUUUAUCAAGGAAGAAGAUCUGACGGUACUUGAUGAAUAAGCCACGGCUAAUUCCGUGCCAGCAGCCGCGGUAAUACGGGAGUGGCAAGCGUUAUCCGGAAUUAUUGGGCGUAAAGCGUCCGCAGGCGGCCCUACAAGUCUGCUGUUAAAAAGUGGAGCUUAACUCCAUCAUGGCAGUGGAAACUGUUGGGCUUGAGUGUGGUAGGGGCAGAGGGAAUUCCCGGUGUAGCGGUGAAAUGCGUAGAUAUCGGGAAGAACACCAGUGGCGAAGGCGCUCUGCUGGGCCAUCACUGACGCUCAUGGACGAAAGCCAGGGGAGCGAAAGGGAUUAGAUACCCCUGUAGUCCUGGCCGUAAACGAUGAACACUAGGUGUCGGGGGAAUCGACCCCUCCGGUGUCGUAGCCAACGCGUUAAGUGUUCCGCCUGGGGAGUACGCACGCAAGUGUGAAAC